CCUACGGGAGGCAGCAGUGGGGAAUAUUGCACAAUGGGGGAAACCCUGAUGCAGCGACGCCGCGUGAGUGAAGAAGUAUUUCGGUACGUAAAGCUCUAUCAGCAGGGAAGAAAAGAAGUCCUUUGGACUUUGGACGGUACCUGACCAAGAAGCCCCGGCUAACUACGUGCCAGCAGCCAGGGUAAUACGUAGGGGGCAAGCGUUAUCCGGAUUUACUGGGUGUAAAGGGAGCGUAGACGGCAGUGCAAGUCUGGAGUGAAAUGCCGGGGCCCAACCCCGGAACUGCUUUGGAAACUGUGCAGCUGGAGUGCAGGAGAGGUAAGCGGAAUUCCUAGUGUAGCGGUGAAAUGCGUAGAUAUUAGGAGGAACACCAGUGGCGAAGGCGGCUUACUGGACUGUAACUGACGGUGAGGCUCGAAAGCGUGGGGAGCAAACAGGAUUAGAUACCCUUGUAGUC
rnacentral:rRNA from 1 species